CAGCAGCCGCGGUAAUACGGAGGGGGCUAGCGUUGUUCGGAAUUACUGGGCGUAAAGCGCACGUAGGCGGCUACUCAAGUCAGAGGUGAAAGCCCGGAGCUCAACUUCGGAACUGCCUUUGAAACUAGGUAGCUAGAGUCUUGGAGAGGUCAGUGGAAUUCCGAGUGUAGAGGUGAAAUUCGUAGAUAUUCGGAAGAACACCAGUGGCGAAGGCGACUGACUGGACAAGUACUGACGCUGAGGUGCGAAAGCGUGGGGAGCAAACAGCAUUAGAUACCCUGGUAGUCCACGCCGUAAACGAUGAUAACUAGCUGUCCGGGCACUUGGUGUUUGGGUGGCGCAGCUAACGCAUUAAGUUAUCCGCCUGGGGAGUACGGUCGCAAGAUUAAAACUCAAAGGAAUUGACGG
rnacentral:rRNA from 1 species